ensembl:lncRNA
GUGAUGGGAGGUAUUUCUGCUGACUUCAGUGGAAAGAGAACUGUAGAUUAGCCAUGGAUUAGACACCAGUUAUAGCUGCAGUCAGUUCUGCUGAAGCGUUUCAUCUCUUUCCAUAGAAUCACUUGCUCAUUACAAUUAUUUGUUUAAUGCAGUGCUCCUGGAAGUGAGGUCCUGUCCUGAGGUAUCUGAAAGAAAUAGCUGAGAACGAUCAAUAUCUGUUCUCUGGCUCUGACAGGCAGGUAUUCUCCAGCUCCUGGGGUGCUUGACAGUAUACUAAGGCUUCUCUUUUAACUGACUUUUUUUUUCUUCCACCUUCUGUCCAGGCAUCAGAGGGGCAGUGGCAGGUGGUUGCAGACUCUACAUGGUGCAAGAUAGAGCGUUCACUGGAAAGCUGUGAAGUGACAGCAUGAGACUGCAGAUGAAAUGGCAACUUCACUCCUCAGACUAAAUGUACGUUGGAACACCCAAGUAGGAGACUAGUUUGGCAUGGGAGGAAGAAAAGCUGGCUUUAGAAGAGUUCAGACAGGAAGCAGCAAUAUUCCAGGAAGAUUUCCGAGUCAAACAGGAGAGGAACUGGCUUCUCGAAGAGCGUAUUGCAGAGAUUCCCUAAAACAUUCAGCUGCACAGCUGGAGCAGGCUCGUGGUUACCUCUGGGGUUGUGUAUAUUGAGCUGAGAUGACUGAAGAACCGAAGAGGCUCAUGAAGUCGAGGACGAUGGCUUGCGGCAAUGAUGGCAGCAAGGUGAUUGUAAUACAGGUUGUGUAAUGUUUGCUCACCCUUCGUACAUCGUUCUGUUUUCUUGUACAUGUCUAUGGAGUUGAUGAAGGGAAAUGAAGGGUGCUUUCCAUUGUCUCGAGACUCAGCAUGAGUAACACCCCCCCCCCCGUUAAUCACGGUUCCCUGGAGAAACUGAGCUGCUUAAGGUCCAAACCACCACCAGAUGGCAGCUGAAGUUCAAAUAUGAGAUGGGCCCAAAGUCUCAGCAGGGGACUGCUAGAGAGGGGAACUUUGUGGUCCUGGAAUUGGGAAGAUUAAAAAAAAAAAAGACAGCUAUGGUUACUGAGUAAUUGGCAUAGUGAAGGCAGCGUUGGAAAGUCCCUAAGUGAUGGGUGAGUGGGGGAACUAACAUUUUAGUGCUGCAAGAGUUCCUUCAUUCUAUCAGGCAACUUUUGAGCAUACUUUCCUUUACAUUACAAGCAAUAGAUUACUGCUUUGUCCCAAGUGGCUGAAACACUGUGUGUGUGCCUCUUAUCCUGGUCACGCACCAGUGCUCAGAAAUGUUGACUUAAAAUGCUUUGUUUAGUCAAGAUAACAUUCAGAGCAGACAUUUCCAGUUCACUUUUACUGAAAUAGAUGCUGAGGUGACUUCCAGAAGAAACCGCAAGACUGAAUACUUGCGUGCUUGUUUGGUUUUGCUUCGUUUUUCUAUCUCCCCACCCCAGUCCCACCCCCACAGCUCCCCUGGAUACAGACAUUGUCCUAGCACAGCAUUACUUCCUCAGGUAGGCUUUCCUUUUGUGGCUGGAAAGUUCAACUCAAGUAACCCAAGUUGCUGGAAAUCUGCCUGUUACAGCUGGAGAAUGAGUGCGUAAGGCUGUUAAAGUCUCAUAAAUCAGCUCCAUAAAGUGGUUACAGGGCAAAAAUUGUGUCUUAGGUGAAACAAAGAAUG